AUUGAACGCUGGCGGCAGGCCUAACACAUGCAAGUCGAACGAGUGGCGGACGGGUGAGCAAUGUCUGGGAAACUGCCUGAUGGAGGGGGAUAACUACUGGAAACGGUAGCUAAUACCGCAUACCAUCAGAUGUGCCCAGAUGGGAUUAGCUUGUCGGUGGGGUAAUGGAUCACCUAGGCGACGAUCCCUAGCUGAUCUGAGAGGAUGACCGGACACACUGGAACGGAGACACGGUCCAGACUCCUACGGGAGGCAGCGGUGGAGAAUAUUGCACAAUGGGCGCAAGCCUGACACAGCCAUGCCGCGUGUGGGAAGGAGGCCUUCGGGUUGUAAAGCAAUUUCAGCGUGGAGGCGUUACCCGCAGAAGAAGCACCGGCUAACUCCGUGCCAGCAGCCGCGGUAAUAC
rnacentral:rRNA from 1 species